AACUUUCUGGGAGACAAAGGAAAGUUUUUCUAUGUGUGUAAGCGAAUUCUUGCAGUACUGCAGGAUGCUUGCUGCUCUGUUUUGUUUUCUUUACUAAAAAUCUGUAUGCUGUGUUUUUGAUGUCGGUUUUAUCUUCUUGUGUUUCUGCUACUUGGCGUAGAUACAUUUGGUACAUUAUUAAAAUUAUGAAACCUUUAUUGUUUGAAGGAAUUACACCRUAAUUACAUUACUACUAAAUACAUGAAGUUCCAAUUUACAGUUGAAAAUAUUUGCUAUAUAUUGCCUUGUUUGGAAAGUAUGUAUUUCAGUGUUGAUUUUAUGAAGUUAAAGCACAAGAUGCAUAAUUGAAUCACUGUAAAAUUACCUGUGAUGGUAGCAUAUGUUUGUAAAGGACUGUAGAAUGUUGUUAUAAAUCUUUACUACUUUAUUAGUUGACUGCAAUAAAUAAUGACAAAUUCCAGUGGUCUGUAGUGACAGAUACAUUCCAUAGCUUUUUAUGACCCUUAUUUUUGUAUUCUUAUUGAAAAARCACCAAAUCAUCUUGUUCCAAAAUGUCUGGAAAAGGAGGAAAACUGCCUUCAUUUAUAAGAGAAGCAGAUUGAGUAGUCUGUAUUUUUUGUAAUUGUUCAUGAGUUAAUAACAUAGCAUCAAGCAUAUCAGAGCAUAAGGAAAUUAUUUGAAAUGUGUUUCCAUAUGCUGAUGGAGAUCAAAACCAUGCACAUUUGUGUUCACGUUCUUGCUUUUGUAAAAUGCAGUAUAAAAUACUUCUGCUUAGCUGGUGGUUGGUGUUUCAUGUCAKACCAGCUGAGACGUGCAGGCGACACUCUAAUGUGGGCAUGGCCGUGCUCUCUCUUCCAACUCAGUAACUGCUGAUUUUUUGGGGGUAGUCGGGUGUAAUAUUCCCCAAUACUUUUGUUGCAGAAAGGGUGUCCCAGUAGAAAUGGAAUCUUAGUUACAAAAUGGGGAAUCUGAGAAAAGAGUUCUAUUUAAAAUGAGCACUGUGAGGGGUGGAACUAAUGAAGUUGUGAUUCCUACUAAUGGCUUGCAGSUCCUGUGGAUCGAGCGUCUUUCUCCACGUUCCCCUGCUGAUUGACAUCCUCCCCACCAGUCCACAGACAGGGCAUCUUUCUGCCCAUAUUUUCCCCCUGAGAUGGAAUUCCUCCAGAGAGGAAUUACUUGGACCUCUUUCCCAGCCACUGAUUUCCACAGAGCUUUUAAGAGCUUAAUUCUCUUAAUGUCUCUCCUUGACACCUUUUCAAGACAGGCUGGAGUUACUCACUGACUCUUGAAGUGUGGGGGCAGCACAGAUUUGGCCUCCCAUGCUUUGGAAACCAAGCUGCUGAAUGACUUUGACCAUAUGUGUUUUCUUCAGAAAUAUUCAGCAUCUCUGUGCACUUUUUUGCUGUGAGAAUGAAUUUUUUUGCCCCCUCAAAUAACAUCAGAAGUGCCAAUUAAAGCUUACAGCAGCAAAGUCUUUGACGUGCAUUCUUCAGGUAUUAAAUCUYCCAGUCAAUCUUGUGCCUGUAAAAAAAUUAUUUUAAUGUUGCCAUUUUUAGGGUGAGAGUGUUCAAAGAAGCUCUUUAAGGUCCUUACUUAACACAUUUAUUUUUAUUAAAACUGACACAGAUGGCCCAUCAAAAGACAGCUGUAAUUCUCAAGCCUCUGACAAAGUCAGGUGAACUAUGCAGUGGUGAUCAGGUUAUUUCUAGAAGCCAGAUAUUGAGCUAUAGCUUACACUGGAACUCUCUCCUAAUCAACUCUUUUAAACUUAAGCAACUUACCUAGCCAUCUGUGCUUCCUUCCUAGUUCUAAUGCAGGGAGAUGCCUCUGCAAGGUAGUCAAUCUUAGUAUGGAGAGAUGGGUUUGUCAUUACAGAUGGUGAAUGGGGGUGUUUUAAGGGCAUCCUCCCCAUUGACUUUAGAGGCUGCUUAGAUAGCUGUCCUAAGCAAGAUGCAUUAGGUGUCUGCUCCGUAGUGGUGACAAGGGAAGCCAGGGUGUCUUGAACAUGAGGUGUGGACUGCUCACUUCCUCAGAGGGGGGAGGGUUGCAGUGAGGCAACAGGACCUGCAGCRCAUUUGCUGCCUGCGCCCUUCCUAAACACUGCUGGCAGGGAAGUGGGUGUCCAGGGCCAGCUCUUAGGCACCUUGUAAAAGGGAGUUACCUUGCCUUAAAAUGAGAUGAAAAAGGCUGAAGUAAGGACUUAAAUUUCCUUUGCCUAUCCAACUCCCAAGCAAAUGCCUACAGCAUUUUGAAGGUAACUAACUCUUAAUAUACUUAUACAUGGGUGACAAGAAAUAUCUCAAACUUACAAAUGAGUUGGGAUUUUUUCCCUAAUAGGGGUGAAGUGCAUCAAACUAAGAACUAAGCAGUCUUAUCUGAUGUGCUGCUGAGAAGGAGCCAAUAUCAAAAUAAAACUGGCAGAUUAAGAAAAAAAUCGUAUAUUUGCUCAGCAAACCUUCAGUCUGUGUGACUUCCUCGUGAGAGGUUAAAGAACAAAGCAUGGUGUGUUUCCAGUUACCAUUUGAAAGCUGGGGAAAAUUUCAACAUUUCUAAGAAGACAGAGAAGCAAGUGUUGCUUAGCUCGGGGAAUAUCCUGCUUUCAGCUUAUUUUUACCCCAGGGCUUUCAUUUAUAAAUUCUACAGUAUGUAUGUGUGAUCUUUAGAAAGAUUUUUUUUCCCCAGAUGUUUUUUUUUGAGACAGGACUGCAGUAUAAUGCCAAAUAGCCGUUUUGUCUGGCAGGCAUAUUGUUUCAUUUUCCCUGCUUUUGAUGAUGUAAUUUUUUUUGGCCUGAUAAUGACAACUGCAGGUCUUCUAUUAUUAAAUUGUGUGUUAUUCAAUUUUAUGUUUACCUUUUGCCAUCAUUGAUGUGUUUUCUUGAUAGGUGGUACCCUUAGUUUGUCUGUAGUAGUAACAGGGCACUUAAUGAAAUUAAUCACUAAUUUCAGGUGUUUCUCCCUCUGCUUCCUUUCUUCGAAGGAAAAAUUUUGAUAAUAUUGAUCUUUUUCUGUAUGUGAAUAUCUUAUUGACAGUCAAGAAAGAUAACUGGACAAGCUUUUAAUGUUUGAUGUCUUAGCUUGCAUAGAGAAAUCCCACGCUAAAGUAGUACAUAUCUGACUGGUAGGUAUAUUGUGGGCUCACCUGUGAUUAGCUGUGGGCAUCAAAACCAUCUCUGAAAURGCAGAGAGAUUUGAGUGAAAGGGCUCAGAGAGCCAGGUGGUUGCCUUCUGGUCCUCUUGUCAUCUCCACUUUGAAGAUAAGAUGGGAUUUAUUCCUCCUUAAGAACAGAAAUAUCCAAAAGGUGUCUAUACCAGCUGCUGUUUUGGGAGAUGUGCUGCAUCCCUUUGUCCCCUCACUCGGGAAGACCUCUGAUGGGAGAGCGCCUGUCAGGGAGAGGGUGAAUGGCACUGAACAGGUGCAGAAGGCAGCAAAUGCACAUUUGGUCAUUGGACCACCAGAUGGUCCUUCCUAGAAAACCAUUUGUAGAGAAUUGUGGAUAAUCCUGGGUGUAUCACAGAAGCCUGCUGGACUCCACAAACCCUGUGGGAGGGGGAAAGCACAGAAUGCUCAGCGCGGGAUUUGUGCUUCGAAGGAAGCCAGAAAGCAAAACAGYACAGCAAAGCAAGGUAAGAAUAUUUAAAUUUUGUCAUAUUAUUAAAUUAAGAGUGGCUGGAGAAUGAGGUGACCMGUAGUGUGCUGUGUUAUGGAGGGGAGGGGAAGCAGGAAUAGGCUUCUCCACAUGAACUGCACCAGGYUUGCACUUAACCUGGACCCUGAGCCCCAGGAAACAGGUCCCUGUUUCUGGAGUCUUCUGCUCCUGUACAUCAAGGUCACCAUGACAUCUAACUGAUCUUYUAUUAAAGGCUUUUCCUCUUCCUUGUUGCAGUAAGUCCUGCAGUGCUGGCCUGGCCGUGAUUCCUUCAUUUCAGAAAACCCCAGCUCAUCAAGGAGGCUGCUCAGCAUGUCCAUCAGCAGGUCCCUCCUCAAGCACCUCCUUUAGCCCAAAACGUUUUGAACCCUUGAAUUGGCAGCUUGUGGAGUAGGAAAGGUACAUCCCACUCUGGACCAGAGGCUCUGUCCUGCACUUGCUGAGGAAAAGAAUUGGUCAGCUCUGCUGCUCCAUGCACAUACACCUGCCUUCACAGAAUCAGGAGACAAAUCCCACCCCCAAAGACUUGCACUGCAUGCUGGAACUAUGCAUGGGAGUAAAACCUGAAAAUAGACCAUCUUUCUGUACUUCAAAGGCCCUAGAAUAAUCUGGCAGACAAGUGACAUUAAAGAACGAAAAAUGAAGAUUCAGAAGAAAGAAAUGAGUUGUGGAAAGUAGCUCUUGAUCUUGCAUUAAAACAAGUGUACAUUGUGUAGAUAAUUUUUAGAAAGAGGCAUAGGACUUGUAUUAGAGUCUAACAGUUUUUUUUUUAUUACUGCAAACUGUCUUUAAAUCUGCCCUUUGAUUCUUAUAAGAUUAAUCUUUUCCCUUUUCUCUCUGUGACUUCUGUGCCCAUUAUCUUGCUAGACUUUUUGUUCAAUAACCUUCUCCUUUGACUUCCUAAAUAAAAAGAUCAUUUCAUAUUCAGUAAAUUAAACACAUGGCUUUCAAUGUAUGUCUUAGAACAGACACUUCAAGAAAAAGAAAUAUGUUUUCCARAUAAAAUAUMAGAAUGAAAUAAAUACAGAAACAAUGUGCCUUUGGGGAGUAAGAAAACACUCCAGGGCUGAUUAUAUUUGCCAGAACAUUGAACAUGGACUCAUCAGAUUGAUUAAGUCUGUCAUAACAAUGAAUCAUGAAUCCAUAAAAGACAAAAUUCAAUAUUCUGUCUAAAGAUAGAAGUCUAUUUUGAAACUAUCAAAAUAAUACUACAUUUAGAAAAUCCCUGUUGCUUUUCUGUACAAGUAUUUUGAGUAGCACUCUGAUAUCGAAGAUGCUGUAGUAAUAAAAGCACAUACAUUGCAAUGGUAAUUUUUCUUUUUUACAUGAYGUGUCUGUAUGUGGGCCUGUGUCAGUAAAGACAAACGGGCAGGUAAGAAGUAACCAGUGCCAYGCAGCACAACGAGGAAAGGGAAGAGCUUGGGGGCAAAGGGCCAACAUAGAUUCUGUACAGAGAGAAAA